rnacentral:rRNA from 1 species
ACACACCGCCCGUCACACCAUGGGAGUCGGUAACACCCAAAGUUGGUAGCCUAACCGCAAGGAGGGCGCCGCCUAAGGUGGGAUUGAUGACUGGGGUGGAAGUCGUAACAAGGUACC